CUACUGCUGCUGCUGCUGUCCAAAACCUGUAUCUGCGCAAAAAGAGCGCAUUAAUUUGAAAUUAGCAUGGAUUAAUUCUUACUAUAAUUAAUUGUAAUUUAUUCCACUAAAAAUUACAAUUGAACUCCUCAAUAUGAAUUUUGAAUAUUCAAUAACACUUAUUUAUUUCCCCAUAUUAAGAUCUCAAAACAGUUAAUUAAAUUAAAUUACUGAAAAUUUAAUUUAAUCAACUAAUUAAAUUCUUUACAAUUCCUCUUAAACCAUUUCAUGUGAUGGAUACAAAAUUCAUCGGCCGGGUUUUCACAUGAAACUUAUAAGCUUACAUAAAGGGGUAUCAUCAAACUUAAAACCGAGUCAUAGAUUCUAUCAACUAAUUACUAUUUUACAAAUGUUAUUCAUUAUUGUCCAAUCUAUUAGGCAUACACUAACUCUAAAUAGAGACGUACCUUUUGAUAGAUCAAAAUAAUAAACAAAUUACAUUGAUCAUAAUAAUUAUAUCAAGAUUAGGAGUAUAAGCUCAUUUAAUGAAUUAGAGAAAAUAUUUUAUAUAUAUUCAGUACAAAAAUAUAUUUUUUCUACUUGGUCCAUUCAAGAUACACUAAGUAUACUAGCACAAGAAGUUGGAGUAAAACCACUCUCAUAAUCAAGAAAAAUUAUAUUAUAAUCUUGUGUUAAAAAUACUUUGUCCAGUAAUACCUUUGAUUGUGAAUAAUAGUUUAUUAAUUAUGAGAACCGACAAUUUAAUCUUCUGUACAUAUGCUAAGACACUAUAUAUUAAAUUAUCUACUACAUAACUAAAAGGAUACACAUAUAAUAAUAAUAGUAUAUUAUAUUAAUAGUAUAUUCCCAACGAUAGGACAGCACCCAGAACGGGUGCGUUACCUUCACAAAACUUGAAAUUGGAUCUUGCCAGCAGGAGCUUGCCACCCACCAUGCGUUAGCUUUAUUUGAUUGAUUUCUUCAAAUUUUAAUGUUCCUUUCAGUAUAUCAUAUUCAACGUCACAUGGCAUUUAAAUGGCGUAAUACCUUUUUUGUCACUCAAACUUAUAAAACUUUUGAAAGUUGAUAAAUAAAUUUUAAAUUUUCUCAUUUAAACAAUUUUACUUAGAAAAGUUUUACUAAUAAAUAUAUUUGAAUAUCGACUAUACUUAUGUGGCAAUAUUAUAACUGAUAUGACCAUUUGUGGGUAAAUCACAUGUAUUAAGUGCUUGAAUACGAUAUAUAAUUUUUUUUUAAAAAUAAAAAAAUAGAAAAAUAAAUUCAGCUUUAUUUAACCAUCACCGUACACUUACCCCUUCUUCUUUCUUUUCUUUACUCAUUUUUCGAUGUGCUCCGAACAUAGCCUAAAAGGUUUCAUUGCAGGAGACACAAAUAGUAGAACGGGCAAGGACGUCCUUAUGGAUCGAGUUGGAAACAAGCGUCUCCAGUUAUGGGAAGGCAACUCGAAAUAGUGAGAACGCGGGCCACCGAGAUUAUCGAUCGGCCGAGAGGAGAUUAAUCUGUCUCUGUCGGUGUGUUUUACCACACCGAAAUACACAUCUUUCCUGUAUCUCAGAUUGUUGAAAAGUUUAAUUCCAUGUCAAAUUGUUGAAAAGUUUGACUCGAAAUACGCACUCUCUCAGAUUGUUGCAAUAAGAAAUUGAAAAGCAAUAGUGUUAGCAGCUUUUUAAAUUAUUGAAUUUUUUUGCUGAUUUGCUAGAAAUAAUCGGGUCAUAUCUCAGUCAUGGUAAAAAGUAUUCAUCCCUCACUAAUUAUUCUAUGUAAUUUUUGGAGGUGGUGAUUUAUGUCUCUGUGUUUGUGAUUUUUUCUCUAUGAUUUUUGGUGAUAAAAGAUUGGACUUGAAGGUUUUAUA
rnacentral:lncRNA from 1 species